GAGUUUGAUCAUGGCUCAGAAUGAACGUUGGCGGCGUGCCUAACACAUGCAAGUCGAGCGUGAAAGUCCUUCGGGAUGAGUAAAGACGGCGGACGGGUGAGUAACGCGUGAGAAUUUCCCUUUCAGUGAAGAAUACCUUUGAGAAAUUAAAGUUAAUACUGCAUACGUCUCGAUAAGAGAGAAAGAUGGCCUAAUUGCUGUCGCUGAAAGAUAAGCUUGCGUUCUAUUAGCUAGUUGGUGAGGUAAUGGCUCACCAAGGCGAUGAUGGAUAGCCGGCCUGAGAGGGCGAACGGCCACAUUGGAACUUAGACACGGUCCAAACUCCUACGGGAGGCAGCAGUGAGGAAUAUUGCACAAUGGGCGAAAGCCUGAUGCAGCGACGCCGCGUGGAGGAUGAAGGUUUUCGAUUGUAAACUCCUGUUAAGUGUGAAAAAGAUC
rnacentral:rRNA from 1 species